CAGUCGCCGCGGUAAUACAGAGGGUGCGAGCGUUAAUCGGAUUUACUGGGCGUAAAGCGUGCGUAGGCGGCUUCUUAAGUCGGAUGUGAAAUCCCUGAGCUUAACUUAGGAAUUGCAUUCGAUACUGGGAAGCUAGAGUAUGGGAGAGGAUGGUAGAAUUCCAGGUGUAGCGGUGAAAUGCGUAGAGAUCUGGAGGAAUACCGAUGGCGAAGGCAGCCAUCUGGCCUAAUACUGACGCUGAGGUACGAAAGCAUGGGGAGCAAACAGGAUUAGAGACCCGAGUAGUCCCUGUCUCUUAUAC
rnacentral:rRNA from 1 species